rnacentral:lncRNA from 1 species
AGCCUCGGCCCGGACUCGCCGCCAACGAGGAGCCGAGCGCCCUGGAGAACGCGUCGGGGCUGAGCCGGGGUCCAGCAGCCGCCGCUAUGGACAUCCCGCCGCUGGCCGGCAAGAUCGCGGCGCUGUCGCUGAGCGCCCUCCCGGUGUCCUACGCGCUCAACCACGUCUCGGCGCUCUCGCACCCCCUGUGGGUGGCAUUGAUGAGCGCCCUAAUCCUGGGUCUGCUUUUCGUGGCGGUCUACAGCUUGUCCCAUGGCGAGGUCUCCUAUGACCCACUCUAUGCUGUCUUCGCUGUCUUCGCCUUCACCUCGGUUGUGGACCUCAUCAUCGCUCUUCAGGAAGACAGCUAUGUGGUGGGCUUCAUGGAGUUCUACACCAAGGAGGGAGAGCCAUACCUGCGCACAGCGCACGGAGUCUUCAUCUGCUACUGGGAUGGCACUGUUCACUACCUCCUCUACCUGGCCAUGGCCGGCGCCAUCUGCAGAAGGGACCCGGAGCUGGGAAACCCACGGUGGUCUCCAGGCCCUGGCUGGGGCUCUGAGAUUACGGAGUGACUACCUGCUGGUCACCCCUCCAUCCCCUGCUCAGGAAGAGAUACCGGAAUUUUGGACUCUACUGGCUGGGUUCCUUCGCCAUGAGCAUCCUGGUGUUCCUUACAGGAAACAUUCUUGAUGUCCAGCAGGGUUCUGGCAUGGCUGAUGCCCUCUCUCCUGCACCAUGGAAGGCAAAUACAGCUCCGAGAUCAGGCCUGCCUUCUUCCUCACCAUCCCCUACCUGCUGGUGCCAUGCUGGGCUGGCAUGAAGGUCUUCAGCCAGCCCCGGGCGCUAACCCGCUGCACCGCCAACAUGGUGCAAGAGGAACAAAGAAAGGGACUCCUGCAGCGUCCGGCUGACCUGGCCCUUGUCAUAUAUCUCAUCCUUGCUGGCUUCUUCACUCUGUUCCGGGGCCUGGUGGUGCUUGAUUGCCCCACAGAUGCCUGCUUUGUCUAUAUCUACCAGUAUGAGCCAUACCUGCGGGACCCUGUGGCCUACCCUAAGGUGCAGAUGCUGAUGUACAUGUUUUAUGUCCUGCCUUUCUGCGGCCUGGCUGCCUAUGCUCUCACCUUCCCUGGUUGCUCCUGGCUUCCAGACUGGGCCUUGGUGUUUGCUGGAGGCAUCGGCCAGGCACAGUUCUCGCACAUGGGGGCUUCCAUGCACCUGCGCACACCCUUCACCUACCGUGUGCCUGAGGACACCUGGGGCUGCUUCUUCGUGUGCAAUCUGCUGUAUGCGCUGGGCCCCCACCUGCUGGCCUACCGUUGCCUUCAGUGGCCCGCAUUCUUCCACCAGCCACCACCCUCCGACCCCCUAGCCCUCCACAAGAAGCAGCAUUGAGAGAGCUGUGGACUCAGGACCCAGGACUCUGUUUACGUGCCCAGUCAGCCCUACCUGGGGAAGCGGGGGUUGGGUGUUUUAGAGACAGGAGGGACAUCUCCGGGUGUCUUUAGUCUUGGCUAUGGUAGUUUCAGUCCAGUGGGUGGGAUGGAGACCAACGACCAAGUGUUCCUGCAAGGAGAGCCUCCCACAGCUGUCACCAUGCUCCAACUCCCACACAAACGCUUCUACCCCUUCCAGAACUUACCCAUCAUCCCCCCAUGGAUCCUUUCAGUAAAAACCCUUUCAAUUUCCAAAAUAUCACUGCCUAAGUGUUUCAGGGUGCAGGGGCAAGGGAUCCUCUUCUUGGCCCCCAUGAGGGCCCACCUAUCACUGCCAUCGUGGUUGCCAGGAGUGAGAGGUGCUGGGAUAGCAGAAGGCGGCCUCUGGUUGGUAUGCACGGCUCAUCUUCCAGAUGGGAAAACCGAGGCUCAGUAUGGACAAGAGACCUGCCCAAGGUCAUGGCCAGAGAGAAAAGUUCCUGCUCUACCAAUAAAUCAUAACUAAUAGCAUGAUACAUUUAUUAAGCACCUACUGUAUACCUUGACUGCUACAUGCUGGAUCUCACUCCAUAUUCCAGAUGGGGAAACCAAGGCUGCAGGAGGUGAAGGUCCUGGUCUGAGAUCAUUCCCCCGCUCAGUCCCCAAGGCAUGGCUGAGCUAAGAGAUGGAGCCCCAGCCUGUUGGACCACAGAAACCACAACUCUGCCUCUCCUAUCUGGUCGGGUUGGGCUCAUUUUAGGGGAAACUGAGUCCUGGAAGGAAGCCAAGGUGUUAGGAGAAAGACUCACUGUUUGCUAUUGUUUGAUUUUUUGAAAUUGGGUGAAAGGCCAGGUUUAGGGGCGACUUGGGCCUGGAGUAAGUCAGGGACCUUGACCAGAUGUCCCUUUUCCUUUUCUUUCUUUCUUUUUCUUUUUCUUUUUUUUUUUUUUUUUUGAGACGGAGUUUUCACUCUUGUUGCCCCGGCUGAUAUGCAAUGGCACGAUCUUGGCUCACCACAACCUCCACCUCCUGGGUUCAAGCAAUUCUCCUGCCUCAGCCCCCUGAGUAGCUGGGAUUACAGGCAUGUGCCACCACACCUGGCUAAUUUUGUAUUUUUAGUAGAGACAGAGUUUCUCCAUGUUGGUCAGGUUGGCCUCGCACUCCUGACCUCAGGUGAUCCUCCCAUCUUGGCCUCACAAAGUGCUGGGAUUACAGACGUGAGCCACCGCGCCCGGCCUAGAUGUCCCUUUUUCUUGCCCCUCCCAACCCCUACCGGAGAUCUACUGUAUGUCUAGCUACUGGAUCUUCACCAAAGAGUCAGCAGCAGGCUCAGAGAGGCCAACUGUCUCCUCCAAGGUCUCACAGCCAGUGAGGGGCAGACUUGAAUUGGGGCCUGUGGCUCCAGUCCACAGCAGAGUGUGACUAUCGUGAGGCCCCCACCCUGCACAGGGAGCGCCUUUGGGGUGCUGGAGACCAGGACUCCACUAUGACUACCCAAUGGACAGGUGGCCUGCAGGCCAAAUGAUCUCUUUCACCAGAUCCCCCAGGUCCCCUGCCAAAGCACAGUAACCAAGAUAGAAGACUCAGCCCCCUCCUCCAUUUCAAAGAUGGUUAAACUGAGGCUCAGAGAGGUUCUUCCCUGGCCUAAGUUCAGCUAGCAGGGUGAGGGAACUAGCUCUGCACUCCAAGUCCAGAGCGCUUCUUUCUCCGCCCGCGCUCCAGCCACUGCUCCAGGGGAGCGUGGGCCCCCGCGGCCCCUUUAAUACACCCCGCCUCGCCCGCCUUCCUCCUCCCCUUGCAGGCAGACGCCGGGAUUGCGCCGCCUGCAGGGACCUGCCCAGUCUUAACCGGGUGUGCGGGGAGCGCAGUCCGGGUGCGUAGGGGCCGCUCGGCGGGGGCCGCGCGGGCAAGAUGGUGUGCGCUCGGGCGGCCCUCGGUCCCGGCGCGCUCUGGGCCGCGGCCUGGGGCGUCCUGCUGCUCACAGCCCCUGCGGGGGCGCAGCGUGGCCGGAAGAAGGUCGUGCACGUGCUGGAGGGUGAGUCGGGCUCGGUAGUGGUACAGACAGCGCCUGGGCAGGUGGUAAGCCACCGUGGUGGCACCAUCGUCUUGCCCUGCCGCUACCACUAUGAGGCAGCCGCCCACGGUCACGACGGCGUCCGGCUCAAGUGGACAAAGGUGGUGGACCCGCUGGCCUUCACCGACGUCUUCGUGGCACUAGGCCCCCAGCACCGGGCAUUCGGCAGCUACCGUGGGCGGGCUGAGCUGCAGGGCGACGGGCCUGGGGAUGCCUCCCUGGUCCUCCGCAACGUCACGCUGCAAGACUACGGGCGCUAUGAGUGCGAAGUCACCAAUGAGCUGGAAGAUGACGCUGGCAUGGUCAAGCUGGACCUGGAAGGCGUGGUCUUUCCCUACCACCCCCGUGGAGGCCGAUACAAGCUGACCUUCGCGGAGGCGCAGCGCGCGUGCGCCGAGCAGGACGGCAUCCUGGCAUCUGCAGAACAGCUGCACGCGGCCUGGCGCGACGGCCUGGACUGGUGCAACGCGGGCUGGUUGCGCGACGGCUCAGUGCAAUACCCCGUGAACCGGCCCCGGGAGCCCUGCGGCGGCCUGGGGGGGACCGGGAGUGCAGGGGGCGGCGGUGAUGCCAACGGGGGCCUGCGCAACUACGGGUAUCGCCAUAACGCCGAGGAACGCUACGACGCCUUCUGCUUCACGUCCAACCUGCCGGGGCGCGUGUUCUUCCUGAAGCCGCUGCGACCUGUACCCUUCUCCGGAGCUGCGCGCGCGUGUGCUGCGCGUGGCGCGGCCGUGGCCAAGGUGGGGCAGCUGUUCGCCGCGUGGAAGCUGCAGCUGCUAGACCGCUGCACCGCGGGUUGGCUGGCCGAUGGCAGUGCGCGCUACCCCAUCGUGAACCCGCGAGCGCGCUGCGGAGGCCGCAGGCCUGGUGUGCGCAGCCUCGGCUUCCCGGACGCCACCCGACGGCUCUUCGGCGUCUACUGCUACCGCGCUCCAGGAGCACCGGACCCGGCACCUGGCGGCUGGGGCUGGGGCUGGGCGGGCGGCGGCGGCUGGGCAGGGGGCGCGCGCGAUCCUGCUGCCUGGACCCCUCUGCACGUCUAGGCUGGGAGUAGGCGGACAGCCAGGGCGCUUGACCACUGGUCUAGAGCCCUGUGGUCCCCUGGAGCCUGGCCACGCCCUUGAAGCCCUGGACACUGGCCACAUUCCCUGUGGUCCCUUACAAACUAACUGUGCCCCUGGGGUCCCUGAAGACUGGCUAGUCCUGGCAGAACAGUACUUUGGAGUUCCCUGGAGCCUGGCCAGCCCUCACCUCUUCUGGAUAGAGGAUUCCCCCAACUCCCCAACUUUCUCCAUGAGGGUCACGCCCCCUGAGGACCUCAGGAGGCCAGCAGAACCCGCAGGCUCCUGAAGACUGGCCACGCCUCCUGAGACCACUUGGAAACAGACCAACUGCCCCCGUGGUCGCCUGGUGGCUGGACCCCCGGGAUUGACUAGAGACCGGCCGUACACCUUCUGCAUCUCACUGGAGACUGAACACUAGUCCCUUGCGGUCACGUGGGACACUGGGCGCCUCCUCCUCCCCCUCCUCCUCACCUGGAGAGACUACAGGAACUUCAGGGUCACUCCCCGUGGUCACAUGGAGGUUGUGGGCCGAGGCGCUUAUUUUCCCUUAUGGUGACCUGAGUCCUGGAGACUCCCAUUCUCCCCCUCUCCCUGAGAGUCCCCUGCAGUUUCUGGGUAACAGGGCACACCCCUCUAGUUUCAUGGGCGAGCACCCCCAUCUGCCACCUCAGACUGACACACAGCCAGCUGGCUCACUUACUGGGGGCCACGUCCCACCCCUCAGAUAUUUCUUUGAAGGGAGAGCAAACCCACCCUGUCCUCUGACGUCCCUUUCCCAACUGUCACCAAACAGACCAUCUUCCCAGGCCUGGGGACCGGUAAGAUCCAUGUCACUAGUUAUGCAGAGCAGUUGCCUUGGGUCCCACUGUCACCAAGGCAACCAGUCCUGCUGCUACCUGUCACCUAGAGUCACACACCCCUUCCCUCAUCAGGCACACCCAUGAAGACAGUGCCUCCCUCCUCCAGCUGUAACCAUGGAUACCACACAUUUCUCAUCUCAUUGGCCCCCACCCCAGAGACCUCCACCUCAACUUCUGGCUGUCCCUACCCUGACUCACCGCCAUGGAGAUCACCCUCCCCGAAGCUGUCGCCAGGGUGACCCAACAUCCAGUUCUCCGGCUCUCACCAUGGAAACAAACUGUCCCUGUCCCCAGGCCCACUCCAGUUCCAGACCACCCUCCAUGCUCCACCCCCAGGCGGUUUGGACCCCACCACUGUUGCCAUGGUGACCAAACUCUGGAGUCCGAGGUAACAGAACACCUGUCCCCCUAGGCUUUUCCUUGUGGACAACGGGGCCCUGUUCACCAAGCUGUUGCCAUAGAGACUGUCAACGUUGUCCUCAUGACAACCAGACUUCCAGUUCUCAGGAACUUCUCAUUGUGGGCCAGAAGUCCUGGGUGCCUCCUACUAGGGCUACCCUACUGCACCCCAUCAGGGGCCUGAUGGCUGCCCCUUCCCCAGACAGGGCUGGACUUCUGGAGCUGCUAAGCCACCCUCCGUUUGCACGUUAACUCUAUGCCGGAUAGCAGCUGUGCACGAGACAAUCUUGCAACACCCGGGCAUGUUUGUCGUCGUCCUACAAAUGAGGAAACCGAGCCUAUGGCGUGCCCUGGUCUGUUGAGAUAUGCAAGCACUGAGCUCCUCUUUUGUCCUCUGAGACCCCAUCUCCAUUCUCACCCAGUUCCUCUCUCCUUCCCUGACCCCCACCCACAUUUCCCUCCUUAGAGAUCCAGGAGGGAUGGAAUGUUCUUUAAAAUUCAACACCCACCAGGCUCUAAGCGGCGAUCUGUGCUAAGAGGUCAGGACCCAGCCGAAGUCCUCGGCGUUGACAGGCAGCUGGGGGGACAUGAUCCAUGGACAAGGCCAUCCCGGCCGUGGGAGACCCCAGUCCCGAAGUCUUGCCUGCAGGAGUACUGGGGUCCCCCUGGGGCCCUCUUUACUGUCACGUCAUCUCUAGGAAACCUAUCUCUGAGUUUUGGGACCAGGUCGGUUUGGGUUUGAAUUCUGCCUCUUCUUGCUCACUGUGUGACCAAGUGACAAACUCCUUCUGAACCUGUGUUCUCCCACUGUACCAGGGCUGUUCUGUGGUCCCCGUGAGUGCCAAGCAUACAGUAGGGGCUCAAUAAAUCCUUGUUUCUUUUGAUGAAUGAGAAAAUGAGGCAGCCAGUGGGUAAUUCCUGUAUAAAUGCACUUUGGUAGAUAAGAUGUUACAAGCUUGGGGGGCUUGGGGUUUUUUUUGUUUUGUUUUUUUGAGAUGGAGUCCUGCCCUGUCGCCCAGGCUGGAGUGCAGUCGUGCAAUCUUGGCUCACUGCAACCUCUGCCUCCCGGGUUCAAGUGAUUCUCCUGCCUCAGCCUCCCGAGUAGCUGGGAUUACAGGUGCCUGCCACCACACCCGGCUAAUUUUUGUAUUUUUAGUAGAGACAGGGUUUCACCAUGUUGGCCAGGCUGGUCUUGAACUCCUGACCUCAGGUGAUCUACCCACCUCGGCCUCCCAAAGUGUUGGGGUUACAGGUGUGAGCCACUGCGCCUGGCCGGGCUUGAUUUUUAUUCUCUUUGGAAGUGGGGUCCUUCAUUCCUCCCCCACCUCCCCAAUCUCUUGCUCCUCUUUCUUCCCCCAUCCUGUGCCCACUGUCUCCCUUUAGCCACCCACCAUGGGUCUGCUCCUUGUCAACUCUGUCCUGACUGGGUCAUUGACAAGAUCCAGGGCAUGAAAUUCGGGAAACUGGAAGGGGGGUUCCUGUACCAGGAAGGGAGAGACAUUACAAACUUUCCCUGACAUGAAUAUGUGGGCUGAGGGCAGGGGCUGAGGAAGCACUGGAAGUUUCUAGGAUACAACAAAGCAUGAAGAGAAAAAAUAGUGUAAGGUCCUGACCGUGCACAGUGGAUCAUGCCUAUAAUCCCAGCACUUUAAGAGACCAAGGUGGGAGGAUUGCUUGAGCCAGAAGGUCGAGGCUGCAGUGAGCCAUGAUUGUACCACUGCACUCCAGCUUGGGCGACGGAGUGAGACCCUGUCUCAAAAAAUAAAAAUAAGUAAAUCUCCUCUUCCUCAUUCUUCU